rnacentral:rRNA from 1 species
GCCUNUUGCACAAAAUAAGAGGUCCAGCCUGCCCAGUGAGUAUUCAACGGCCGCGGUAUACUAACCGUGCGAAGGUAGCAUAAUCACUUGUUUUUUAAAUAAAGACUAGUAUGAAUGGCAUCACGAAAAUUAAGCUGUCUCUUUUAUCUAAUCAGUGAAACUAAUCCCCCCGUGAAGAAGCGGGGAUAAUUUUAUAAGACGAGAAGACCCUGUGGAGCUUUAAGCCUAUAGCACCAGCCCCCCCCCUCCACUUAAAUGGGCAUGCAUGACUCCUAAAGCUUUCGAUUGGGGCGAUCUUGGAGAACAAUUCAUCCUCCAAGCUGAAUCAUAAUACUAAACAAAAACCAACAACUUAAUGUAUCAACAAAUUGACACUCAUUGACCCAGUAACCUGAUCAACGAACCAAGUUACCCCAGGGAUAACAGCGCAAUCUUCUUUGAGAGUUCAUAUCGACAAGCAGGUUUACGACCUCGAUGUUGGAUCAGGGUCCCUAGGAGUGCAGCCGCCCCUAACGGUUCGUUUGUUCAACGAUUAAAACCCUAC